rnacentral:misc_RNA from 1 species
GAUGAAGAACGUAGCGAAAUGCGAUAAGUAGCGUGAAUUGCAGAAUUCCGUGAAUCAUCGAAUCUUUGAACGCACAUUGCGCCUCCUGGUAGUCCGGGAGGCAUGCCUGUUCGAGCGUCACCAAAUCCAACUCAAGCGGUUUUGCGCUUGGUCGUGGCGGAAGAGUCGGUCUGGUUGCCGUCUCCCCUCCGAAAAUCAACGGCGGAAAGUCACUGGCAGUCAGCGUAGUAGUAUCGUUCGCCGAACAUCCAGUGGCAUUCCUGCCGACGUACCCCCACAAUUCUCGUGAUUGACCUCGGAUCAGGUAGGAAUACCCGCUGAACUUAAGCAUAUCAAUAAGCGGAGGA